GCAAGGAACAUAGCUCAAUCAGUAGAGCACAAGACUCUUAAUCUCAGGGUCCUGGGUUUGAGCCCCAUGUUGGGCA
rnacentral:tRNA from 1 species